GACGAACGCUGACGGCGUGCUUAACACAUGCAAGUCGAAGGGAGUGGCGAACGGGUGAGUAACACGUGAGUAACCUGCCCUUUUCUUUGGGAUAAGCCUGGGAAACUGGGUCUAAUACUGGAUGGCUUGGGAUGGGCUCGCGGCUUAUCAGCUUGGUGGUGGGGUGAUGGCUUACCAAGGCUUUGACGGGUGGCCGGCCUGGGAGGGUGGCCGGGAACACGGCGACGGCGAGACGGCCAAGACACCUACGGGAAGGAGCUGUGGGGGAAAGGGCACAAUGGACGAAAGGCUGAUGCGGCGACGUCGUGUGGGGGAUGAAGGUCUUCGGGUUGUAAACUCGUGUCGCCCGCGGAAUGGUAGUGGGUAAAGAAGCGACGGCUAACUACGUGCCAGCAGCCGCGGUAAUAC
rnacentral:rRNA from 1 species